GUCCAGGGAUGGGAAUCGAACCUACUGUGUUCCGCUUACCGGGCAGAUGCCAUGUCCACUAGGCUACCCUGGA
rnacentral:tRNA from 1 species